rnacentral:rRNA from 1 species
CUACGGGAUGCAGCAGUGAGGAAUAUUGCACAAUGGGGGGAACCCUGAUGCAGCAACGCCGCGUGGAGGAUGACGCAUUUCGGUGUGUAAACUCCCUUUAUAUGUCAAGAAAAUGACGGUAGCAUAUGAAUAAGCACCGGCUAACUCCGUGCCAGCAGCCGCGGUAAUACGGAGGGUGCAAGCGUUACUCGGAAUCACUGGGCGUAAAGGACGCGUAGGCGGGUUGUAAAGUCAGGUGUGAAAUCCUACAGCUUAACUGUAGAACUGCACUUGAAACUUCUAAUCUAGAGUAUGGGAGGGGGAGAUGGAAUUAGUGGUGUAGGGGUAAAAUCCGUAGAUAUCACUAGGAAUACCUAAAGCGAAGGCGAUCUCCUGGAACAUUACUGACGCUAAGGCGUGAAAGCGUGGGGAGCAAACAGGAUUAGAUACCCCGGUAGUC